AUCUCUUUCUCUCUUUCUGAACGUUGCACUCACUUGCAGAUCGGGCCUGGCUUUGGCCGGGGGCCUCCCGAAGAAGGAGGUGCGGGCGGUGAAGAACUCCUCGGACUCCUCCUCCUCCAGGCUGCUGUAGCCGCUGCUCAUGCUGCUAGUCCAGGGC